rnacentral:SRP_RNA from 1 species
GCCAGGUGUGGUUGAGCGUGCCUGUAACCCAGCUACUCGGGAGGCUGAAGCGGGAGGAUCACCUGAGGUCAGAAAUUCUGGGCUGUAGUGUGCUACGCGGAUCAAGUGUCGGCACUAAUUUCGGCAUCAGUGUGGUGACCUCCUGGGAGCAGGGGAUCACCAAAUUGGCUAAGGAACCGUUAACUGGCCCAGGUCAGAAUCGAAGUGGUUCAAAACUACGGUGCUGAUCAGUAGUGGGAUCAUGCCUGUGAAUAGCCAAUGCACUCCAGCCUAAGGCAACCUAGGGAAAUUGCAUCUCU